rnacentral:RNase_MRP_RNA from 1 species
GACGAUUUGCUACGGAGGUAACAAACUCAUCGGAGUGUUUUCACGGCCGAUUUCAUCCUCUGGGGAAAGUCCCCGGACACUGCGGCAGAGAGUGCCAGCCUUAAGGGCCAGUCCCUUCACCGCUCGAACGUUGGCGAAGACGACCUCGGUCGGAGCUGUAAGUGAGGGAGGUGGAGACUAUCGUCACAGCACAGAUAUGCAAAUAGCA